GGUUUGUGGCUCAGUGGUAGAGCGCCCACCUAGCAUGUGUGAGGCACUGGGUUCGAUCCCUGGCACCA
rnacentral:tRNA from 1 species